UACGUAGGGUGCAAGCGUUGUCCGGAAUUAUUGGGCGUAAAGAGCUCGUAGGCGGCUUGUUGCGUCGACUGUGAAAACCCGCGGCUUAACUGCGGGCUUGCAGUUGAUACGGGCAGGCUAGAGUUCGGUAGGGGAGACUGGAAUUCCUGGUGUAGCGGUGAAAUGCGCAGAUAUCAGGAAGAACACCGACGGCGAAGGCAGCUCGCUGGGACGGUACUGACGCUGAGGCGCGAAAGCGUGGGGAGCGAACAGG
rnacentral:rRNA from 1 species